rnacentral:lncRNA from 1 species
CGGGGGUCUCCUGACAACCCUAGUUGUGUUUCAUUGGUUGUCAUGGUGAUGGCCCCAUCCUCGUUGCCCUGUCAUGUGACGUAAGUAGGCCAGCUAAGGCCCCUGGGUAUGUGAAACGUUUAUGUCCCGCUUGCAGCCGUGCACCCCGUACGUCCCUUUUCAGGGUUUGUGACUGGUGGGCAGGUAGCGGAUGGGACCCAGUGGGUCCUGGCGUUGCUCACAGCCCUCAGCUGGCUCCAGAGAAGCUGUGCCACAGAAGCAGGACCGGCGCCAGCCCGGGACUGGGAUGGAGUCGCCUAAAAGUCUCCUCCAGGGAUGGAGAUGGGAUCCCCUUCCUGCCAGUGGCGGG